AUACUUACGUUGAAAAGGAGAGUAGCUUUUAAUUAAGUUAUAGCGAAUCAGGGACGGUGGAAGCCUGAUAUGGCGUUGAAAGUGAAGAACACCUUGGAGUUACUUACCGAAAGCAAAAUUGUGAGUAGACUAAGUCGUAGAUCCUGCGUUAAAGGUAAAGGGUAAGAACAGAUUAGUUCUUAAACUAGGGUGGUACCGCGGAUCAACAGUCAUUCGUCCCUUUU
rnacentral:ncRNA from 1 species